rnacentral:rRNA from 1 species
UCUUUAUAGCUUGCUAUGAUAAAAAUUAGUGGCAGACGGGUGAGUAAUGCAUAGGAAUCUACCUAGUAGUAUGGGAUAGCCACUAGAAAUGGUGGGUAAUACUGUAUAAUCCCUGCGGGGGAAAGAUUUAUCGCUAUUAGAUGAGCCUAUGUUAGAUUAGCUAGUUGGUAGGGUAAAGGCCUACCAAGGCAGUGAUCUAUAGCUGGUCUGAGAGGAUGAUCAGCCACACUGGAACUGAGAUACGGUCCAGACUCCUACGGGAGGCAGCAGUGGGGAAUAUUGGACAAUGGGCGCAAGCCUGAUCCAGCUAUGCCGCGUGAGUGAGGAAGGCCUUAGGGUU